GACGUAGGGGGCCAGCGUUGCUCGGAAUUACUGGGCGUAAAGCGUGCGCAGGCGGUUUUGUAAGCCGGAUGUGAAAUCCCCGGGCUUAACCUGGGAAUGGCAUUCGGGACUGCAAGGCUGGAGUGCGGCAGAGGGGGAUGGAAUUCCGCGUGUAGCAGUGAAAUGCGCAGAUAUCGGGAAGAACACCCGUGGCGAAGGCGGCUCUCUGGGACGGUACUGACGCUGAGACGCGAAAGCGUGGGGAGCAAACAGG
rnacentral:rRNA from 1 species